AUUGAACGCUGGCGGCAGGCCUAACACAUGCAAGUCGAGCGAGCGGCGGGCGGGUGAGGAAUGCCUGCGAGUUGCACAGUGGAGAUAGAUAACAGAUGAAACCGACUACUAAGAGCUCAUACGGUUGUAUUUCCCAGGUGGGAUUAGCUCGUGGGUGAGUUAAUGGCUUACCAAGGCGACGAUCCCUAGCUGGUCUGAGAGGAUGAUCAGCCACACUGGAGCUGAGACACGGUCCAGACUCCUACGGGAGGCAGCAGUGGGGAAUAUUGCACAAUGGGGGAAACCCUGAUGCAGCCAUGCCGCGUGUGUGAAGAAGGCCUUCGGGUUGUAAAGCACUUUAAGCGAGGAGGCGUUACCCGCAGAAGAAGCACCGGCUAACACCGUGCCAGCAGCCGCGGUAAUUC
rnacentral:rRNA from 1 species